UCUGUGCCGCAAAGUCACUCACUGGUGACCUGAACCAUCUGUAUUCUCUCACCAACCCAGUUUAUUGCUUGUCUCUCUCUGGGAAUAUCAAGGAAAAAAAAUGGAGAAGAAGGAGUCUUAAUGGAACGUGUUCCCCUUAAUUAUCAUUAUAUCAGUCCUCUUUUCCCUAUAGACAUUAGCCUCUCUUGCAUUUCAAUCCUGCAUCUGCUCUUUUGCUGGACAAGAGAGAACUCCAGACCCAGAGUCUACAACACCUUCCUGCUCAGGAUCUUGGCUGAGGACGUGAUACCUGCUACCUUGGGCCUAUGAAAAGAGAAGAUCAAGGAUGAAAAUCCAAUGAAUUGAGGAUGGUAGAAAAAAAGGGAAAGCAUCAGGCUUGAUCUCCAACAAGAACCUUCAAUCAAACACUAUGCUUCUGGUUAAGUAAAUAGUAUGCUUCCUUGUUUGCAAACCAGUGCUAAUCGUGUUUUCUGUUACUUGUCUACAAAUGGGAUUAGCCAGGGCAAUAAAAUGAUGUCUAAACAGGUGAUAUAUAGGGCU
rnacentral:lncRNA from 1 species